rnacentral:rRNA from 1 species
GGGUUUCCGCCCUUCAGUGCCGGAGCUAACGCAUUAAGCACUCCGCCUGGGGAGUACGACCGCAAGGUUGAAACUCAAAGGAAUUGACGGGGGCCCGCACAAGCGGUGGAGCAUGUGGUUUAAUUCGAAGCUACGCGAAGAACCUUACCAGGUCUUGACAUCUUGCGCUAACCUUAGAGAUAAGGCGUUCCCUUCGGGGACGCAAUGACAGGUGGUGCAUGGUCGUCGUCAGCUCGUGUCGUGAGAUGUUGGGUUAAGUCCCGCAACGAGCGCAACCCUUGUUACUAGUUGCCAGCAUUAAGUUGGGCACUCUAGUGAGACUGCCGGUGACAAACCGGAGGAAGGUGGGGACGACGUCAGAUCAUCAUGCCCCUUAUGACCUGGGCUACACACGUGCUACAAUGGACGGUACAACGAGUCGCAAGCUCGCGAGAGUAAGCUAAUCUCUUAAAGCCGUUCUCAGUUCGGACUGUAGGCUGCAACUCGCCUACACGAAGUCGGAAUCGCUAGUAAUCGCGGAUCAGCAUGCCGCGGUGAAUACGUUCCCGGGCCUUGUACACACCGCCCGUCACACCAUGGGAGUUUGUAACGCCCAAAGUCGGUGGCCU